CUGAGAACAACUUUUUGUGCAGGAAUUCAUCAAGCAUGUCGGCCGCGGGCGCGUAAUAACACAAUACCUAGAAAGUGGACAGUUGUUUGGCCAUAACGAGAACGUCCACUUUUAGCUUACCAUAAACUAAGCUAGUGGCGCUCGUGAGAGUGUGCUUCGCCCCCACACGGUGGGCAACAUCCACGUUUUGGGCUAUCUGGACCUUGAACUGUGGUACAACCUGCUGACAAACGAUGAUUUUCUCACGCACGUACUCCUGAUCCGACCUCGUUCCUGAGGAGACCUCUGAUGGAUCAACACGGAGAAUCGACGGCGGUAAUUCAGCCAUGGGAAAAGACAUUGGAUCCUUCCAGACAUCAAGGUAAGCACAAACCUUUUUAAUAAAAUUGUGCAUAUUGGACAUUCUAAAAAAACUGAUGUCUGAAAGUGAGGCAAAUGUGUCAGCAUUAAAAUAGAAUGAGUGGGGUGACAAAUUAAGAGAAGUUUAAGGAUAUAAUAAGGAAAACCAGGGAGUAGUGAGUUCUGUUUACAAGUUCCACGGUGGUCUGGGACCACAUCGCAAAGGCGGUAUACUCCUAAAAACAGGAAUAGUCAGUUUUGUUUAGACGUUGCACAGUGGUCUGGGACCGUAAGGUUUAAAAGUAAAUCUUAUAUUCCUAUUUAA